rnacentral:rRNA from 1 species
GACGAACGCUGGCGGCGUGCUUAACACAUGCAAGUCGAACGGAAAGGCCCAGCUUGCUGGGUGCUCGAGUGGCGAACGGGUGAGUAACACGUGGGUGAUCUGCCCCUAACUUCGGGAUAAGCUUGGGAAACUGGGUCUAAUACCGGAUAGGACAAUCGUUUAGUGUCGGUUGUGGAAAGUUUUUUCGGUUAGGGAUGAGCCCGCGGCCUAUCAGCUUGUUGGUGGGGUAAUGGCCUACCAAGGCGUCGACGGGUAGCCGGCCUGAGAGGGUGGACGGCCACAUUGGGACUGAGAUACGGCCCAGACUCCUACGGGAGGCAGCAGUGGGGAAUAUUGCACAAUGGGAGCAAGCCUGAUGCAGCGACGCCGCGUGGGGGAUGACGGCCUUCGGGUUGUAAACCUCUUUCGACGGGGACGAAGCUUUGGUGACGGUACCUGUAUAAGAAGCACCGGCUAACUACGUG